UUUUGGUGAGGUGCCUUCCGAGUUCCCUGGAACGGGACGCCAUAGAGGGUGAGAGCCCCGUCUGGUUGGACACCGAUCCUCUGUAAAGCUCCUUCGACGAGUCGAGUAGUUUGGGAAUGCUGCUCUAAAUGGGAGGUAUAUGUCUUCUAAAGCUAAAUACCGGCCAGAGACCGAUAGCGCACAAGUAGAGUGAUCGAAAGAUGAAAAGAACUUUGAAAAGAGAGUUAAACAGUACGUGAAAUUGUUGAAAGGGAAGCGCUUGUGACCAGACUUGGGCUUGGUUGAUCAUCCGGGGUUCUCCCCGGUGCACUCUUCCGGCCCAGGCCAGCAUCAGUUCGCCCUGGGGGACAAAGGCUUCGGGAAUGUGGCUCUCUCCGGGGAGUGUUAUAGCCCGUUGCGUAAUACCCUGUG
rnacentral:rRNA from 1 species